GCCGCCGAGCACAUGGGCCCGCGGGCCGGGCAGGCUCGGGGCGGCCGGGACGAGGAGGAGCAGCGAGGAGCAGCUAGCAGGCAUGAGCCUGGGCUCUCCCGGCACCCGCGAGUGGAUUUCCACGCGGACAGGAGGUGGGCGCCCGGGUGACCCUGGAGACACGGCUGGAGCCACCUUCCAGGUGCAUGGUCCAUAAAGUGGUUAUUUGAGCGAAUGAGCAUUCUCAAGACAGUUGUCAAGACAAUCAAGAAGAGGUUAGACCCACAUACAUUUGGAUGAAGCUGACCGGAAGCUGAGAAGGAUGCCCUCCCUCCCUUGCCCCAGGCUGGCUGCGCCUGUUGGUCGCCUGGGACCCUGCUCGAGGAUUUUCGGAGCCCGUUGGAUUCACUGUGACACCUGGCCACCUGGGGAGGACACCGUGGAAGCAUGCUGUGGACCACACCUGGAUGCGUGUGAUGACUGGGAGGAAGGACCUGACUGAGUGCAUUGUGGAUUCUUCAGCCCGGGUGUCCGUGGGAGACAGAGGAGCUCAGCUGCCUACCAGGGCUGAGGUUUCCAUCCUCAUGUAGGGCAGGAAUGACUGGUUGGGUCUCCACCGGUUCCCGCUGAGGCUCCCCUGUGACACGGCAACUUCCAGUAAGCACACACCCUGUGAAUGUGACGGAGCCUCCCGGCCUCCCUCCCUGCCUGCCUUCCCAGGGCCCAAGCCUCUGCCUCUUUGACGAAGCAUCACUCAUCUCGGACUGGCCACUCCCGCCCCACAUGACUGGGAGCCCAGGAAGGCUGCCGUGGGGUGCGGAUCCCACUCCUGCGUGAGCAGUGAGAGCUCUCAUUUCCUGCACACCUACUACGUGUGAGAGACGGACUUUCAAUGCCUCUUCUCGUUUAAUCCUCACGAUAAACUUCUGGGCAGAUCAGAUAAAGGCAUGAGCCUCUCCAGCUCUAAGGUGAUGAUGACCGAAGCUAGUGUGGAGCCCUUGAACUGCAGCAGCUGGUGGCCUGUAGCCCUAAUCACUACAGAAGUGACUGAGGAGUGUCUUCCUUGAUUGCAUGGAUGAGGAAGUGGAGACACUCAGAACUGCUUGGAGUCACAUCCCUAGAAGGUGGCAGAGCUGUGUGGGGGCCUCAGACUCCUGUUAGACCUGGAAUUUCGACACUUUUAGUCUGAAAAAACUGUGCGUCCACUCAGAACCCCAGAAGGACUUAGGAACUGUCCUUCCCUGCGUAGAAGCUGGAAUAUUUGGCUUUUGGAGAAUUGAGGAGAGUACGAUGUGCCAGCCCCAGAGGUGAGGAAGAUCAAGAGACAGUUGAAGACUUUAACCAAGAGACAAGAAGACACAUGAAACUGUGAAAAAGGAGCCUAGAAAAUUGCCACCAUUUCCCCCUACACAGCCCUUUCUCUCAUAGCACUUAAUACUUUGUAGCUGCGAUUUGGUCACUGCUGAGCUAUCUUCAUUUAAUGUGUUUUUGACAGAAUAGUUAGUCUGGAAAUUUUAUUUUCAAUUAAACUUCCUUGUUGAAUGGCCUUGGUUUUGAAAGGAUUCCAUUAGGGUGGCUAAUUACAUAGCAGUUGCUACAAGGAGAUAUUUGCACUCAAUUUCAGCUCUUAGGUAAUUCAACUCAAAUGCUUAUAUUUUCCUCCCUGGAGCUGUGUGUGGCCAUCUUCCUCUCAUACUGCAGUCUUCUGAGUUAUUUUUAGAAACCUAAGUCGAAAUAGCAGUUUUGGUGGAGGCCUUUUCUAGGCUAGCCAAGUAAGCCAUAUGUACUGAUAAAGACAGUGGAUGCUCCCGUGCCUUUCAGAAGCAACAAUGCUAACUGCUGUGCGAGGGGGCUCCAUGUUUGUGAGCUGUCCUUUCUACUAUGACGUUCCUUCGUGAACUCCAACUGUCAUCAAAAGCAAUGGAAAUUCCAUUACAAUCGGGAAAGAUUUGCCCGUCUGCAAAGGUGGCAGAUCACUCGGAAUGUCCUGGGGACCCCGUUGUGGCCGGUGCAGCUCCUGUGCAAUGUGGAUAUCACUGUCUUUGUUCUCUGCCUCGGCUCUGUUUUCGUCUCUGAGCAGAGCACUUGUCAUGUCCCUCAGCAUGCUUAUGGAGUUGGGAUGCUUUCUACUGCCAUAACAGAAUUCCCGAGACUGGGACAUUUGUGGGGAGUAGGAUUGAUUUAGGCUCAUUCCGGAGCCACUGAUGCCUUUGUGGGGGCCCCACCCUCAUGACCUCAUCUCAACCUAAUCACCUCCCCAAAGCUUCACCUCCAAAUACCAUCAGCAUGUGACUUUGGGUACUGAGUUUCUAACAUGAACUUCUGGGGGCCACAAGCCGCAGCACUUACUAAGCAGAUAAACCUCUCUCACGACAAAAUAUUGUUGGUGGAGCUGCAUUUUUCACCUUGUUCCAUGCCUGGCACAUAGUAGGUCCUCAGAUAGGGAAGGAAUAACCAUGCACCAUUACAAUCUAAGUUUUUUCUAUUUUCUCUGUAUUUUUUUUAGUAGUUAAUAUUUUAUGACAUUCAACCUGAAAAAAAAUAAACUUUCCAAAUAAUAAAGAAGUCCCUUUUGGUUCCCAUCCCAUAUCCUUGUCUACUCAACUGUCUCUGUUUAGGCAACACAUUUGACUUGCAAGUCUUGCUAAUGCAUUUAUGUGUACAUACACACACACAUGCAUGUACACACUUGAUGGUCUUUUCCAGACCUGUGAUAAACAGUAUUUUGUAGUUUACCUUCCUCCACUCAGCAAUAAAUCCAGGAGUGCUAUGCACGUUAGCUGCCUCCUUGUUGACUGCUACCUCAUUUUAUUGCAUUGGGUGGGUAUGCUGUCUUUUGUUUGGAUGAAAUGCACACGUUCUCUGAUUUCCCAUUCAUCAUACUUCCAGAUCCCUUCUCAUGUGGAUGCUGACAAACUAAGCACAUCCACUGCUCUCUUUAGGUAGCCACAUUUCAUCGAAGUCAGCUACCCAUGUUGGAGAUUAUGCUAACAGGUAGAAUUAUGUGAAAUGCUAAGCAAUGGCAGAUGGGCUAAAUCCCCUUGUCCUCGAAAUCCGGGGAAUUGUACUGCCCUCUGGGGAUUCACAGGACUGGAGGGUGAUGGUGGGGCUACCGUCAGGCCUGCCUUUGCCUGCACGGUUUCCCUGGAUGGACCAUCCCUUGUCCCUUGACUGUGUUUUUCUCAUCUGCACAAUGGACUCAAUGAGCCUCUUUCAUUUCAGACCCUGAAUAAUAGAGCCUGCAGUGUGUCACUUGCUUUGAUCCAGAGCCGGUAUUGUUAGUGCUCCCUCCACUGUUGUUGGAGUGGGAAAGGCGAUUCCUGGUAGAGCUGCUGCCCAGAGUUCUCGGCUGAGAUGAUGUCACAAAGAGCCAUGGUCACCCACCUUUGGAUUUCACUCCCAUUUCCUGUUGCUUUGCCAUUCAGUUUAAAUGAGUGUUUUGUUUUGCUUGAUCUUUUUGUUCUGAACAGCAUGGCAUUGGGUAAAGAGAUUAUGGAUCCUUGAUUCCCACUUCCAGGUUUGUCUAAUUCCAGCUGUGUGUUCUUGGGCAGGUCACAGAACCUUCUCUGGGUUUCCCUCUAUUGACAGCAUGAUUCCACAUGAGCCAGGUAUUCAUGAAAAUAACAACAACAACAAAAAGUCUGAACCACACCAUCGUGUGUGUUUCACCUGCUGUUUCUGAGCCUUGUCUGCUACAGACAGGUUGUCUUGUGAGUUGAUUCAUGUGUUGAUGAGGCAUUCUUAGGGACCACCAAACCCCAUGAAAUUGUGUUUCAUGGCUGCAUUGUGCACCUCCCGUGGCCCUGGUGACACAGGCUGAGCCUUCCAGAGAGUCCUGAGCAGCAAUGAUUCAAAGGUGGCAUUUUCUCCCCUGAGUUGUGGGGCUGUGUGGCAGGGUUGAGGUGAUGACAAAGGGUAUUCCCCUGCUGUGGGGCUCAGGGCCACAAGGGUCACAGGACCUGAUUCAGAUGCCAGUGGUUUCCUGAGGGUCUCAGGAUUUCCCAUGUGCUGUGAGUUCUAGCCCCUGGGUUUAGCAUCACACAUUGGUCUGGAGACCCAGCAAGAUUCUGCUCGUGAAAGGUCAGAGUUAAUGGUUGUGAAAGGUCUGUGGGAGCCUUGGCUUGCCGGUCUUGGUGGGUUUGGCUUUCCUGGACCUCACACUUUGUUUUCGGUGGGCUUCUGUUCCUGUAGACCCCUUUGGUUAAGAAGGGUUUCCCAGUUGAGUACCUUUGUACGGGAAUGGGGCCAGCCAAGAGUCUCUGGUCCUGUUCAGUGGCUGAGCUCCUUGGGGCAAGUGGCUUAACCUCCCCCAGCAGCCUCCACUUCCUGCCCUGCUGGGUCUUCAUGAGAUAAAACAGCCACUCCACAGCAGGUUCUUUACCUCUUUCCUCCCUUCCCUCUAUGGGAAAAAAAAGCCUGAUUUUAUAGGUUCUGAAUCUAACUGAGCUUCCCCAAGUCCAUAGUGGGUAUGGUUCACAUUAACCAAAAUAAAAACAGCAUAGGGAGUAGAAAGAAUAUGAAUGACGAGGUAUACAUGGUAAAUGAGUUAGAAAGCAAAAAGAAUGGUGAGUUGUUCCACUCACCGACCUCACCCCCUCGCUCACGGCAAAGGUUUUAGCAACUGCAUUCUUCAUUUUUCUAAGAUGCUUGCGAAUCAGGUUUGUGGCGGAUUGGGGCAAGGUAGGUUGCAUUGUCUCCUGGUAUUUGAUCCUCCUCCAAGCCGUCAGCACUGUUCUCAUUCAGUGUGCAGACUUCAAGCAGUGAGUCAGCCUGACUUGUGAUUCACAGGCACUUGAUCUGAAUGCUUGAUCUUGUGGGGCUGGGCAGGGGCAGCAUGAGAACCGAAUUCCCUGACCCCAAGUCAGCUUAACUGCAGAAGCACGGGCAACAGAGGGUUGUGGAUGCUUCCUGCCCUCCAGGUGCAGCACAGUGGAGGGGGCAGAAGGUAAUGACGUCCAGGGCUGAUGGCAGAGUCUGGUUCACACCUGUCAUCCUGGCCUCUUCUCCAGUUAGCAUAACUUUCCAUUCUGGGGAGACUACACUGAGGGUUCUUUCUUU